CAACAAACAAUGUCAGAAGCGUCUUACCUGGGCUAAAGAAAAACAGACCUGGUCUGUUGCUCAGUGGUCCAAAGUCCUCUUUUCUGAAGAGAGGAACUUUUGCAUCUCAUUUGGAAACCAAAGACCCAGAGUCUGGAGGAAGAAUGGAGAGGCACACUCUGCAAGAUGCUUGAAGUCCAGUGUGAAGUUUCCACAGUCUGUGUUGAUUUGGGGAGCCAUGUCAUCUGCUGGUGUUGGUCCACUGUGCUUCAUUAAGUCCAGGGUCAACGCAGCCGUCUACCAAGAGAUUUCGGAGCACUUCAUGCUUCCGUCCUCAAACGAGCUUUUUGGGGAUGCUGACUUCAUUUUCCAGCAGGACCACACUGCCAAAAGCACCAAAGCCCGGUUCAAUGAUCGUGGGAUUACUGUGCUUGAUUGGCCAGCAAAUUCGCCUGACCUGAACCACAUUAAUUAAUUGGGCAUUGCCAAGAGAAAGAUGAGAGACAUCAGACCGAACAAUGCAGAAGAGCUGAAGGCCGCUAUUGAAGCAUCCUGGUCUUCCAUAACACCUCAGCAGUGCCACAGGCUGAUAGCUUCCAUGCCACACCGCAUUGAGGCAGUAAUUGCUGCAAAAGGGGCCCAAACCAAGUACUGAGUCCAUAUGCAUGCUUAUACUUUUCAGAGAUCCAAUAUUGUUCUAUGUACACUACUUGUUUUAUUGAUUG